rnacentral:rRNA from 1 species
UACGUAGGGUGCGAGCGUUAAUCGGAAUUACUGGGCGUAAAGCGUGCGCAGGCGGCGCGUUAAGACAGGUGUGAAAGCCCCGAGCUUAACUUGGGAAUUGCGCUUGUGACUGGCGUGCUGGAGUGUGGCAGAGGGAGGUGGAAUUCCACGUGUAGCAGUGAAAUGCGUAGAUAUGUGGAGGAACACCGAUGGCGAAGGCAGCCCCCUGGGUCAAGACUGACGCUCAUGCACGAAAGCGUGGGGAGCAAACAGG